rnacentral:rRNA from 1 species
CCUACGGGGGGCUGCAGUGGGGGAUAUUGCACAAUGGGGGAAACCCUGAUGCAGCGACGCCGCGUGGGUGAAGAAGCGCCUCGGCGCGUAAAGCUCUGUCAGCAGGGACGAAAAUGACGGUACCUGAAGAAGAAGCCCCGGCUAACUACGUGCCAGCAGCCGCGGUAAUACGUAGGGGGCAAGCGUUAUCCGGAUUUACUGGGGGUAAAGGGGGCGCAGACGGCGAUGCAAGCCAGGAGUGAAAGCCCGUGGCCCAACCCCGGGACUGCUCUUGGAACUGCGUGGCUAGAGUGCAGGAGGGGAAGGCGGAAGUCCUGGUGUAGCGGUGAAAUGCGUAGAUAUCAGGAGGAACACCGGUGGCGAAGGCGGCCUGCUGGACUGCAACUGACGUUGAGGCCCGAAAGUGUGGGUAUCAAACAGGAUUAGAUACCCGUGUAGUC